rnacentral:lncRNA from 1 species
UUUAGCGCUAUCGUACGAUCGUGGAAGGCUAGUAGAACAGAUAACCUGCUGCCAUUGUGUCCUCAUGUGUGUGUACAUAUACUUCGCCGUGGCCUGAUAUUAAACAAAAGAAGAAAAAGAAGAAGAUGGCAAGGAUGUGGGUUGCUCUUUCUGAGGAUGUUUAUAGAGCCAAUGCAACCUUAAGCAUACCUGGGAUUCUUUUCCUGUUUUUCAUGGUCGCCGCGACGAUCUCCAUCAUGGCUGUAGUUAUCUUCAACUGUGGCGACAGCGGUGGUGCACCACGGCAAAAGAAGAGAAAAGGUUUGGAUGGCCAUGACCCCAUCGGUGAGCUUGGUGGUGGAGGCGAGAAUGAUGGUGGUGAUGAUGGUGGAGAUCAAAAUGGCAGCGAAGGGUAUGGUGAUGAUCACCAGCACCAGCACCACGUCGGUGGGCAUUGAUAAGCAGAUAAGAUAUCAGGCAUCACCAGCACCACCACCACCACGUCGGUGGUCAUCACCAUCACCACCACCACGACGUCGGUGGUCAUCACCAUCACCACCACCACCACCACGACGUCGGUGGUCAUCACCAUCACCACCACCACGACGUCGGUGGUCAUCACCAUAGUGGCGGGUUCCACCACAUGUAGUCAUAUAUCCCAUAAAUGAAUUGUAAUAUUUUUUUUAUAUUUAACAAAACGAUUCAUGUUUUUGUAAAGAUUAUAAUAUAUCUUUUCACUAUUUAUUUAUAACCUUCUUUCUCCAAAUAACGAUUGCCAGAAACAUGAUGUCAAUGUAAGUAAUAUCAUAUGUGGAUUUAUCCCGACACUAUUUGCAGAAUCAUCGACCAAAUAUCAGACUCGUGGAUGUGUAAUUUGUCGGCUACUACAAUAUCAAUUGACUUGUGAAAGGUAUAAUAAUAGAGGUAAAAUAUACAAAAUCUUGUUGAGAUAGCAGCGACUCGUGGAUAUAUCAGCAACCUGUAGGAAUUGAUUUCACUGUUAGAUCACAAUUAACCUAUUAGAAAAUAAAUUAGAUUAGGAAAUUGUCAGACGUCAACAAAUGUUUGAUCUGUUGUCUUAGGUUGGACUAGAGUUCGGGUUAUGCCACCUUAAAGUCCAUUAAUUAAUAACAGUAACAUACACAUGUAAAGUGCCAUGACCUCUUAUUGAUCUCUAACAAUUUUAAAAUUGUUUUUAUAUCCAUGCGAAUUUUAGAGACUUCUCUUUUGACAAAAGAGUAAUAUUUUAUUUUAUUUUGGAGACGAAAGCAAGAUAC